ACGGAGGGUGCAAGCGUUAUUCGGAAUUACUGGGCGUAAAGCGCGUGUAGGCGGUCCUGCAAGUCUGAUGUGAAAGCUCCGGGCUUAACCCGGGAAGUGCAUUGGAAACUGUGGUACUUGAGUACUGGAGAGGAUGGGGGAAUUCCCGGUGUAGAGGUGAAAUGCGUAGAGAUCGGGAGGAAUAUCAGUGGCGAAGGCGGCCAUCUGGACGGUGUCUGACACUGAGGCGCGAAAGCGUGGGGAGCAAACAG
rnacentral:rRNA from 1 species